rfam:Setaria italica strain Yugu1 chromosome I, whole genome shotgun sequence.
AGCUGUGAUGAGCAUUGCUUCCUUCUGACACCUCUUGUAUGAGAAGGGAUCUAAUGGUCCCUUCCUUGAGCAGAUUCAGCAACCCUCUGAGCU